rnacentral:rRNA from 1 species
AUGGACAAGCUCUGCCACGUCGCCAUCCCGGGCCCUGCCUUUCGCUCCCGCUAUGUCAUGGGCUCGUCCCACGGCUGGCUCAUCACAGCAGACGACCGCUCCCAUCUCAUCCUUGUCAACCCCAUAACUGGCGCUCAGGUCGCCAUGCCACCACCGGAAAGCAUGCACAACAUCAAGCUCCGUUAUGACGAGGAAGACCGCAAACUUGACGGCUACUGUCUUAUUUACGUGGACACGGUGCCGCACCGGAAAAAAAAAGCCAUAUGGACUUUCACUGGAGCAAGGUCGCUUUUGCUUCUACAUGAUUGUAGCCAUGUCAUGCGACCCGUCCAGUAA